rnacentral:rRNA from 1 species
CGCUGAGGAGCGAAAGCGUGGGGAGCGAACAGGAUUAGAUACCCUGGUAGUCCACGCCGUAAACGGUGGGUGCUAGUUGUGGGCCACAUUCCACGUGGUCCGUGACGCAGCUAACGCAUUAAGCACCCCGCCUGGGGAGUACGGUCGCAAGACUAAAACUCAAAGGAAUUGACGGGGGCCCGCACAAGCGGCGGAGCAUGCGGAUUAAUUCGAUGCAACGCGAAGAACCUUACCAAGGCUUGACAUAUAGAGGAAACGUGCAGAAAUGUACGCCCCGCAAGGCCUCUAUACAGGUGGUGCAUGGUUGUCGUCAGCUCGUGUCGUGAGAUGUUGGGUUAAGUCCCGCAACGAGCGCAACCCUCGUCCUAUGUUGCCAGCACGUAAUGGUGGGAACUCAUGGGAGACUGCCGGGGUCAACUCGGAGGAAGGUGGGGAUGACGUCAAAUCAUCAUGCCCCUUAUGUCUUGGGCUUCACGCAUGCUACAAUGGCCGGUACAGAGGGCUGCAAUACCGCAAGGUGGAGCGAAUCCCAAAAAGCCGGUCUCAGUUCGGAUUGGGGUCUGCAACUCGACCCCAUGAAGUCGGAGUCGCUAGUAAUCGCAGAUCAGCAACGCUGCGGUGAAUACGUUCCCG